UUUCCCCUGACAUAGAUGUUGAACUGUUAUGGACUGAGAUAAAUGUGGUUGUUCAAGCUAAUUAGUCCCCUUGUGUUCGAUGGAAGUAUACAAUGUUCUCACACAAACUCUUCAACAGGUUGGCUGCUUGCCUUCUCAAUGCUAAUUUUGCUGAUUCUUUCCUUAGAGAAUUUCCCUCUGACUUGGUGAACACUGUUUGAAUUGCUGGAAUUUUUCAGAAUGAGAUUUCCAGCAAGUCUCCUCUGCAACAACAAACAUGAAGACAAAUUAUGCUCCUGGAAGAAAUGUCAGGUCAUUAACUUGAGACUUCAGACAUAUCAACUGUGACCAACAAGGCAUCAUUUUUUUCUUUUGCUUCUACUUCUACUUAGACAUGCUGGAAGCACUAGUGAUGCAUUAUUCAGCUUCCAGAUAAAUGUAGCUGCAAGCUAUGAGAAUCCAAACAUAUCUGUAUCCCUUAAAAGCAUAUUCAGAAGACAUGCAUUGCACGCUUGCCAUCAUCUCCAGUUUACCUUAAAAAGGUUACUCCCGUUUCCAGGAAGAAUACCACAGCUUUGUAAGGUGUCAAGUGAACUGCAGGGUUGAUCUCAGAAGCUCUGGACCAUUGGAAAUCUGUCAUGUUUCAUCUUGCCAUUGAAAUACUCCAGAAGGGACUACAACAGAAGCCAUACCUAACAGGAAGUAUCUUGAUACAUACCUUGAUGCUGGUUGCUGUUGUCCCAGGAGAUGUAGGAUUCAAAAAUGUCUAGCCUAGGUAUCUCUGCAAUGCAGGUGUAUCCAUGUAACAGGAGUAGGCAUGCAAGUAGAGCAGAUGUUUUUGCAAAUCUUGAGGUAAUAACCUGCUACUCAGAUAUGAUGAAGUUCUAUAUUUUGUUUUGGAAAAAAACCUAUGAACAGGGGAAAUUUUUGUUUUUUGUUUCAAAUUGGCCCAAGCUGACAACUCUUACUACUAGUGUAACUCGUACAAUUAAAAAGACAGUUAUGAAGAUGGCGAGAAAAAGUGCAAAAAAAAAAAAAAUCUACAUACAUUCUUCUAAUGUUAGGUAUCUACUCUGUGUCAGUCACUUUUCCCUCAAGACUGCCCUUCUGCAAGAUCAGCAAAAGGCUUGCUUUAAUUUUUCACUCUGUUUAUAUACAGAACUUCUGACAUAGUAGAUCCUUUCCACAAGCUGCUUUGCCAACUGAGACUUUUUUAUUGGAGUCUACAUAGAGAAGUGGGGCAUCAUGGGCAGCUGAUUAAUCAUAUUGGUAACUGUAGUGAAGUAAUUAAGCGGGCAUUAGAAUCUCAUUACCGUCCUUAAUUAAGCUGGGAAAAUUGAAAUACCAUACAAUACUUAAUGCGAAACGGACUGUAAUAAAACUGCUAAGACUUGUUUACAGGAAUUAACAUGCAGUUUUGCAGAGUAGAUGGUGAAUAUUUUUUCACUGGUAAUUAAAAUAUAGUAUAUUUUAGUAGACAAGAUAAAUAAGGUGUUUGUUUUAUCUAUCAGAAAGCUUGAUUACAUGAAAAGGUCAAUAUUUUAUUAAAAAUAACAUUAUAGGUAUAAAUUAUAAAGCAUAAAAAUAAGGAUUUCAAAAUAAAAGUAUUUACACAAGCUUGUCUAUAAAAACAGAGUAAUAUGAAAAGAAAGCUUUUUAAAGGCCUUAUGACUCUAUAUUCAGAAAUAACUGAGAUUUCUACAAGAAUACAUCUAUUUUAUUAUGACCACAAACUCCAAAACAAUACACAAGAAAGCAUUAACAUAAGUCUUCUGUAAAUAGCUAAAGAAAGUUCUCAUAUUGCUUGUAGCAGUGUCUUGAAAAAUCAACAUGAAAAGUAAGCAUGAAAUUUUACAUACUUACUUUGCUCUGAAACUAAUGCCUCCUAUUUCUUUCCAUGAAAAUUACAACAGAUGAAAGUUGUGAAUGGCCGUCUGGAACAUGCAUGUCUUCCACAUGGCUGUAUUGAAAAGCACUACUCACUGCCUCAUUUUGCUCACAUCAACUGUUUGAUCUCCAGAAAUGUACAGAGAACAGCGAUGAAUGUCAGUAGGUGCCCAUUUUUGUCUCAGUGAGGAAUUCAGUGACACACCUUUGUUCCAUCCACACUUCCAUGACAGACGCCAUUUUGUCAGAGUGCCCCUCUGCUGUCAUGUGUUACAUGGCAACAAAAUGUAACGGGAUAUUGGUGGGAAGGUUCCACCUCUAUUGGCAUACCACUGACAUCCACCUCUGACACAGCUGGCCAACGUAAUAAAACAUGUGUAGCCCCUGUAUGCUCUGUCCCCAUUCAAACAAAGUUCUUGCUCUUUUGGAUUGUUCAUUUCUUCUUGUACAGUCACAGAGGAAGUAAGAGCAUCUCAUGAAAAUUUAAUCUGUCCAAUUAUAACUUAGCAGUAAAAGAUAAAAUAAUGCUACCUUAAACUUUAUAAGACUCUCAUACAUUCAGUCAAUUUUAGACACACACUUGUAGAUUCCUUAUUUUAAGCUAUUUGUUUUUCUUAAAGCUUUUAGAACCUCAGAGACUAUUUAUGAUUACAAAUAUUUCCAUUGCCUUGAUAACAAAUGGCUUAUGUAAUAUGAACUUAUCCCCAACACUUACAAUACUCCACAUUUUCGAUGAAAUACAAGUAAAAGCUUUCCUUUGUUUACUGUCACACUCAAAAUCCUUGAUAACGGGUCCCUCCAAUAUUAAAAUACAUUGCCUUGUAGAUGAUUAUCUCAAUACUGUUCAGAACAGACUGGCUCAUUUUCAAGCAAGAUUUGUCAAGAAAACAAAGAAGUUAAAAAUUCAAGUCUUUUCUUUGUAAAAUACUCUCAUACUUUCUGUAAUCUUAGUAACUGUAUUAGCCUCUGAAGUUUUUUUGAGAAAUUUCUAGAUAUAAAUUAUUAUGUCUAAUGAAUUCCAAUAACUAAAAGAUGAGUAAACUAUUUUAACAGCUCUGCUGAUUAUUGUGUUGGUGUUCCACUUAAUUAGUUAGUAUCCUAUAUAUAAAAGGGUUGUAUAUAUUUAGUUGACAUCACAAGAUUUUUUCAGUAAUUCAGCUUAUUCUAUCCCAAAUUAGAUGAUUCAGGAGGGUAAAAUGAAUCCCUUCCCAGGAAUUCUCAUUCUCUGUCUCUCAUGCAUUCAUACAGCAUGCCUUCAACACUAGCUAAAAUUACAGCGUACAUAAGACCAUAACAAGAGUGGGUUGAAAUAAUUAGCUUUGCAGUGAUAAGAAAAGUGAAUUCCACUGCUGUGGACAGGGGAGAUAGGCUAUAAAAAUUUCUGAAGGAUCAGAUCCAAGUAAGUAGUACUUCUGAACAGAUUUAUAGACCACAGUGGACAAGGAGCUUCAACUGAGUCUGAAAUAAGGUUGGAUAAAGCAUUCUCCAGCUGUACAAAUAGAGUAAACUUUACCUUUGCAUAUCACCAAGAUGAGACACACAUUAGAAAACGUUCAGUUCUGGCUUUUAGGCUUUUUUAAAAAUGUUGACAAAAUGGAAAUGUUGUAGAAAACUGUUAUGGAAAUUAUUUUUGAGCUGGGAAAAUGCCACAUAGUGAAAAUGUUUAGAAGUUUAAUAUAUUAAGUUUGUGAAUCAAGAUUGAGAGAUGACUUGAAAAUAAAUAAAUAAAUAAAAUAGUCUCUUCAAAGGCAGAAAAUCUCAUAUGCUUAAUGAUGCAUUCUCAAGAAAAACUAAUGGCUAGAUAUCAGACAUUCAUAUCAGAACAAAAUGUAGAUCCUUCUCAGAACCUAGAAUCACUAACCUCUGAAAGAUCCUAGCAAACGAAACUCUCGUUUGUUUCCAGACUUGCAUUCUCCAUCUACAGGUGGUUGUAUUCUGAAAGCAUUUUCAUUUUUCUCAUGCAUUUAAUAAAGAAGAUCUUUCUCACAGCUCUUAAUUUUGGUUUUAUUUCCCCUAUGACUUUUCUUUCUUUUUCUUUUUCUUUUUCCUUUUCUUUUUCUUUUUCUUUUUCUUUUUCUUUUUCUUUUUCUUUUUCUUUUUCUUUUUCUUUUUCUUUUUCUUUUUCUUUUUCUUUUUCUUUUUCUUUUUCUUUUUCAAAUUUCCGUUUUGCAUGAAUUUCUAACCUUUUCCUU